rnacentral:rRNA from 1 species
UACGUAGGGUGCAAGCGUUGCCCGGAUUUAUUGGGCGUAAAGGGCGCGUAGGCGGCUCUGCACGUCCGUUGUGAAAUCGCCCGGCUCAACUGGGCGGGGUCAGCGGAUACGGCAGAGCUUGAGCAAGCUAGGGGGCAAUGGAAUUCCCGGUGUAGUGGUGGAAUGCGUAGAUAUCGGGAGGAACACCGGUGGCGAAGGCGGGUCUCUGGGCCGUAACUGACGCUGAGGAGCGAAAGCGUGGGGAGCGAACAGG